rnacentral:lncRNA from 1 species
ACGGUGAAGCUACUAUGUUUCAGUGGCAGCGGAUGCGUUAAACACCUAUAAACGGUGAUAGUGCAACAGAGCAGAUUUGAUUCACUCGAGAACAGGUUCCAAAAUCGUGCAACGUUGAUCUUACUCGAGAGUAGGCAAACGUCCGAUGAUUUAUGGAAACCUAUAUAAAUGAAGAAGCAAGAAGAGUGUAGAACAAAAGAGUGAACAAGAACAAUGUGCGAAAUAGCCGGUGAAUUAACCGAAGCAGGACAGAGCAGGUUGUUAAACGCUGAGCAAGGAAAGUACUCGAGGAGACGUUUAUUAAAGGCGACGAGCGCAAAAAGGAAAAGAAAUCAAUGAGCCUGCGACCCAAUGGAAGCAAGAGGACGGAAAGGCGAUAAAAGGAGAUCGAAGAAAAGAGAAGAAGACACCAGGCUCCGGUCGCGUACACGAAAGGGUAUAGUGGUGUCUCGGUCGAACUAAUGGUUGGCUGAUGGGGGCGCCACAAGCGGAAGAGAGAGACGCCGAGUGGCACUCAUAGGAGCGUAACAAUGGCUUUCCAUGCCGGCUCAACCAACCAGACGACCGACUGACGAUCAUGACGAAUCGUUCCCUGUGGGAUUACCGGAAACCGGCCACUACCCUGGGGGUUGCUCGCUAGAGUUCUACCGUCCACGUCUAUUGACCGAAAAGUUAACCGAAUUGAGGAUUAAGGCUAAACCUAUCGCAUACCGAAAGAGGAAUUGCAGCCGUAAAAUUUUUGCAUCGACCAUUACGUUUAUUACUAAGCCCUUGGUUGAUGAUUUCAUUCAGAUUAACUCGUAGUUGUCGUAUACUCUGUAAGAAAUAUUGCCGUAAUUAUCUUUCACGUACACCAAAUACAUCCGCACCUCGAUCCCAUUUGUAAUCUUUCGGUACACUAGUUGUACACCUGUAGUAAUACUUUUGGUACCUGUAGUAAUAACUUUGGUACCUUUACAUUAUUUACGAGUAUUUAAAUUCGCACGAAUCUUGAUAUUUUAAUUCGUACGGCCUUUUAUGAGUAUCCGAGAAAAGUGAAAGAUUUACAAUCUGCAAGAAUAAACGAUAUUAACAAAGGGCUUGUACUAUUUCGGUAUAUGGAAAUGUUGCAACAGUGUGGCAAAUAACGACGCGUGUAUUCAAAUACGCUGGGAACAAUUCGUGUGUACCGAAAGAUACACCGAUCGAGCUACGAAUAUAUACAGCGUUCGCUUCGGAAAGUAAGUUAAUGACUUAAACUUUUAGCGCAAGCGCCGACUUACUUUCCCAAGCGACCGUAUACAAAUGUACGUACGAAUGUCUCUUAAAAUCCGCGUCUCAUAGCGUAAUCUCUGAUAGUUUUCUACCGAUCUUCGGAAGAUCUACCGACAUUCGUGCGUACAUUUGUACACGGUCGCUUGGGAAAGUAAGUCGGCGUUUACGCUAAAAGUUUGAGUCAUUAACUUACUUUCCGAAGAUCUACCGAAGAUCGGUGGAAACUAUCAGAGAUUACGCUAUGACACGCGGAUUUUAACACUCGAUCGAAGAGUUUGACGAAUUGGAGAUUAACGUUCAACAAUCGCAUAGACAUUAAACUAGGAACCGUAGUUCGUCGUGUCGUUCAUAACGCUAAUUAACAUUGUAGCGACACAGCAGUCAAAGGACGACGCGAGCCGAAAGCGACUCAUGCUGUUGUUUUGCCGCAGAACAUUGACUCAGCCUUGACGCAGAAAUGUGACGAUAAACAAACUCCGGGCAAAACAAUGUCGCCGCUACAUGCAACCGUCGAAUGAAGACGAAUUCAAAUUUUCCGAUUUCUCCCCGACUAGUAUAAAUAAACGGACGUAGUACAUAUCUAACAGAAUAUCUCCGAGUAUCUUACGAGUAUUUAUCGAGUUACGCGACGAGCAUUAACCCCUUAACCUACAACUACGGGCAUAGCCCGUAGUACGAUGAUCGGA